GUUGUGGAGACACUGUCCUGGAGUACAGAAUCCUGGCGAUCUUCCUUCACGUGGAAUGAAUGGAAAGCGAACUAGAAAAUGAAAGACGAUGGUGGAAGGGCCCUGAAGGAGCUGAUAUCAAAGAAACCGAGUGUUCGAGUCCUCAAUUAAUGAAGUUGUUAAGAAUCCCACGACAGUAACAUAAUACUUUAGCUGCGCCACAUCUCCACAACGACGGUUCGUUUUCCAACGCCAACCUCGGUGCCAUAAUGGACUGCGACCGCUGUAGCUCCAAGGUAAAGUUAUUAAGAGUCACAGCAUUGGCUCUCUUUCAUCAAGAAUAGUGCCUCUGUUUAGGUUACUGUGCCUGGAGGAUAUAAUUCCGGACGUACAGCGAUUUAUCAUCAAGACACCUUGCUGUGGACAUUUGGUUCACAGCAAAUGUUUCUAGAUGUGGACAAUGACUUUGGCGGACAUUGAGGAUGAAAAGGCACGAUGUGCGUAUUGUAGAAUGGUGUAUCGUGAGUCGUGACACCAUGCAGGUUCUGUUUCCUGUGCCUCAAAUGAGAGUGUUUAUAACUUGAGAGAUUCUAAUAGUAAACUUUGCAUCGCAAAACUUCGUAAGGAUUAUUUAAAACGUUCCUUUAGUUACAGUACUGUAUAAGUAGCGGAGCGUUUUUAUGGAAUAGCUUACCGGAAUCCCUCAGAUCAGUGUCCUCUCUCACUCCUUUAAAACGGGUUUAGAAACUUUUUUACUAAAUAAUGGUUCCGAUCCAACUCUCACACG